GCUGGGCACAUUGGUAUGUUAGUACAGGUACUCAGAAGGCUCUGAGGCAGAAGAAUCACUUAAGCCCAGGAGUUCUGGGCUGUAGUGCACCAUGCUGAUAGGACGUCCACAUGAAGUUCAGCUUCAAUAUAGUGAUCUUCAGGGGGGCAGGGGACCACCUGGUUGCCUGAAGAGGCAUGAACUGGCCCAGGUCAGAAAUAGAGCAGGUCCAAACUCCCACAUGCUGAUCAGUAGUGGAAUCAUGCCUGUGAAUAGCCACUGCACUCCAGCCACACAACAUGGGGAGGCCUCAU
ensembl:misc_RNA Metazoa_SRP Metazoan signal recognition particle RNA